rnacentral:rRNA from 1 species
GAUGAACGCUGGCGGCGUGCUUAACACAUGCAAGUCGAACGAUGAAGCCCAGCUUGCUGGGUGGAUUAGUGGCGAACGGGUGAGUAACACGUGAGUAACCUGCCCUUAACUCUGGGAUAAGCCUGGGAAACUGGGUCUAAUACCGGAUAGGAGCGUCCACCGCAUGGUGGGUGUUGGAAAGAUUUAUCGGUUUUGGAUGGACUCGCGGCCUAUCAGCUUGUUGGUGAGGUAAUGGCUCACCAAGGCGACGACGGGUAGCCGGCCUGAGAGGGUGACCGGCCACACGGGUACUGAGACACGGCCCAGACUCCUACGGGAGGCAGCAGUGGGGAAUAUUGCACAAUGGGCGCAAGCCUGAUGCAGCGACGCCGCGUGAGGGAUGACGGCCUUCGGGUUGUAAACCUCUUUCAGUAGGGAAGAAGCGAAAGUGACGGUACCUGCAGAAGAAGCACCGGCUAACUACGUG